UACGGGAGGCAGCAGUGGGGAAUAUUGCACAAUGGGCGCAAGCCUGAUGCAGCCAUGCCGCGUGUAUGAAGAAGGCCUUCGGGUUGUAAAGUACUUUUCAGCGGGGAGGAAGGCGGUGAAGUUAAUAGCUUCACCGAUUGACGUUACCCGCAGAAGAAGCACCGGCUAACUCCGUGCCAGCAGCCGCGGUAAUACGGAGGGUGCAAGCGUUAAUCGGAAUUACUGGGCGUAAAGCGCACGCAGGCGGUCUGUCAAGUCGGAUGUGAAAUCCCCGGGCUUAACCUGGGAACUGCAUUCGAAACUGGCAGGCUAGAGUCUUGUAGAGGGGGUAGAAUUCCAGGUGUAGCGGUGAAAUGCGUAGAGAUCUGGAGGAAUACCGGUGGCGAAGGCGGCCCCUGGGACAAAGACUGACGCUCAGGUGCGAAAGCGUGGGGAGCAAACAGGGAUUAGAUACC
rnacentral:rRNA from 1 species